rnacentral:lncRNA from 1 species
GGGGGGACGACGACGACGACGACACAGAAAAAUGAUGCUCCGCCAGCGGCCGGGGGCAGCGGGCACGGCCCGGGGGAUGCCCCGCCGCCCCCCGCGCCCCUCCGCGGCGUUCGGUCGCGGGGCGGCCGGCUCCCCAUCGCCCUGCCGUGGAGGUUGGCCUCGCACGGCUCGAAGGGAAACAGAUGCAAAAUAUCGUCCUCGUUAAAGUCGGGAAAGACCCAAAAGGAAACGACAGUGAAUGAGCCCCGGUCCCUCCAUCCGCCAGCGGCUCCUCUUCGCCCUCGAGUCGGUAUUAGCCUCGGCUUUGCCACGCAAGAUCGGCUGCAGGAACAAAUCAAAACGAGAAAAAGUACCUGAACUGCACCCGUCCCGAAAUGAUUUAGCAAAGGGAAGCCCUGAACUGAAACAAACCAGAUGCUCGGAUCCCAGACACGUAUAUACACACAGACACACGCUCCCGGCCGUGCGUCCACGCGCGGAGCGAAGGGCUCAGACCUUCAGUGCUCCCUGCAGUUCAACCUUUUUUCCAGCCCCGUACCGCCAGCUCCCAGCUUGCAAAGAUCCGUGUGCAGCCUGCACACCAAGAGCUCCCAGCACAGGGAGGAAAGCAGGAACGGUGGUGCCAGAUAGUACGAGAUGUGUGAAAUUCCCAGUUUGGAAGCCACUGGAGCCAAGUCCCUAUAUCCAUCCCUGCAGCGCUCGGAUGUUGGACAGCUCGGUUUUGUUGACUUGCA